rnacentral:lncRNA from 10 species
GGAGAAUAGCUUGAACUUGGGAGGUGGAGGUUGUGGUGAGCCGAGAUCGCGCCAUUGCACUCCAGCCUGGGCAACAAGAGUAAAACUCUGUCUUUAAAAAAAAAAAAACACUCACGAGGAGAAAACAGCCAUAAGACGACAGAGGUGGGAGAUUACAGCGAUGCAUCUACAAACCAAGGAAUGCCGAAGAUUGCCAGCAAACCAACAGAACUAGAAGAGGCAAAGGAGGAUUCUCCCCUAUAGGUUUCAGAGACAGCACGGCCCUGCCAGUGCCCCAGUUUCAGACUUCCAGACUCCAGAACUGUGACACAAUAAACUUGUGUUAUUUUAAACCAUCCAGUUGACGGUAUUCUGUUACAGCAGUCUUAGGAAAUGAAUACAACUACCAAUAGUUCACAUUCAUUGAAUGCCAACAGCUAAUAUUCACGAAUAUUAAUAUAUUACUGUGGGCCAGUGCUAAGUAUUCUAUGUACAGAAUCUCUUUCAACUGUCACAACAGGCUUAUGAAGUUAAUACUAUUUUUAUCUGUAUUUUACAGGUGAGGAAUGUAAGAUCUGGGGAGUUAAGAUCAUGCCCACAGUCAUCUAGAGGGUAUCUCUGUGAAGCAAGACAAGGUCAUCCUCCACAUCCUCCGCAUGAAUUGACCUCCCCCAAACUUGGGGCCUAACUGUCCAGCUGAGCUCAUAUAUGGGAUCAUCUUCAUGCUGAGUCUUGGACACCAACCUGAAUUCUCCUACAGAGAAACUGGACAUCUGCUCUUGAUGGGGUGUAGUGGAUAAGGCAUAGCACCUGUGAUCAGGAGAUCUAGAUCUGAGUCUCAGUUGUGACACUUUUUUCUGUGUUACCUUGGGAAAGUUAUUUACCCUCUCUGAGCCUCAAUUUCCUCACUAAAAGGGGAUCAUGGUACCAACAUGUGUUAAAAGAGUAUUAAAUGAGAUAAUAAGUACUUUGUAAACAAUGUGUUUGUAAUUAAUCAUGAAUCUUAGUUUGAUUAUAUGAUUAUAAUUAUGUUUUUUUCCAGUAAUGGAAAGAGGGCAGGGAUAAAAGGCAGUGAGUGGCCUGAGCUUCUAAAAAUUCUCAUGAGAAGGAUUCAUAGAGGGUUCACCUGGUUCCUUCUAGGAGUUUACUCACAGCCUUAUAAUUUUCAUUAUUUAGAAAAACAAUCACAGAUGUCAUGUAUCACAACUUGCAGAGAACACACCUGCCCCUGAGACAGAGCAAUCAUGAUGAUGGUGGGCAGAUGGGGUCAAUUCUGGGGAACUGGGAUUCCUUGUGGGAAUGGAGGCCAUUUCCCCAUGGGUGACUCACAAUGGCUGAAGAAGGGAGAGGCAAGUAUCUAUUAUACACAAUUAGCAAUCACCCCACAACCCUGGCUCAUGUGAACCCCACCAC